rnacentral:lncRNA from 1 species
ACAUUACUUAUACAUACAUUACUUAUAUACACAUAUAUAUAUAUAUAUAUAUAUAUAUAUAUAUAUAUAGGAUAAAUUAAAAGUGUAUAUAUAUAUAUGUACAUACAUGUAUAAAAUAUUGCAUGAUGAUUUUUUAAAAAAAUAUUAUAAAUUUUUAUGUCAAAAACUUUAAAAAAAAAAAAAAAAAUGUUUUUCAGAUUAUGCAUAUUUAUACAAAUAUACAUACAUACAUACAUAUAUAUAUAUACACACGCUGCCUCGUUUACAGCAUGAUCUAUAAUUUUUUAAAAAUUGUUUUAAAUUAUAAAAUUUGUUUUAAAAGAAUUGAUUUCUAAUAAAAUUCAAUUUUUUAGUACCCAUCCAAUAUAUAUUUGUAUAUAUAUAUAUAUAUGUAUAUGCAUACGUAGUACCUUAAGUAAAUAACUGCUAUUUUUUUUUUUUUUUUUUUUUUUUUUUUUUUUUUUUUUUGUUUUUUUUAUAUUAAUUUAAUUUUUUGUCAUUUUUCUUUUAAUCACAUUAUUUGUGACAUUUUUCUUUUAAACACUUUAUCUGUGACACUUAAUUUUUUAACAUUUUAUUUUUGGGCAUUUUGUUGUAUAUUUUUUAUAAUUUUAAUAUACAUUUUACUAUGACGUUCAAUAAAUUUGUUUACGUUAGUUUAUUCUUGUUUUUGCAAGUAUUUUUAUCUAAUUAUAUAUUAUAUGAUUUUUUAAACAACAUUUUAAGUAAAACUAAUUAUAUAACAUCAUGGAGGAAUAUAAAAAGUAUAAACAGUAAUUACUUAAAAGAAUUAGAACAAUUCGAAAAUAAUAAUAUUUUUAAAGAAGAUGUUUUUAAACACUAUUUUUUUUUACAAACGAAUGAAAAUAAUAAUGUGAUAUUAGUAAAAUUAUAUAAACAAGAUAUACCUUCAAAAAAAAUAUCAACGUAUUAUGGACAAAUAUCAGUAGGAGAAAAUAAAGGAUUACCCAGCGUGUUGGAAGUAGAUUACUUGAGUGGAAAAAUAAAAGGAUUUGACGGUACACACAAACAUACACAUAUACAUAUAUAUUUAUGUACCUGUUUUGGGCAUUUAUAUUCGUCACGGUUUUUAUGUUUUAUUAUAUGUUGUCAUAAUUUUUUUAUAUUUCUUUUAUGUAUGUUAAUGAU